CCCUUGUUUUUCUCUUUCUUAACUUUUUUUUUUAUUUUGUCGCUCCGACCCUGUCGCUAUGAAGCUGUGUGGAGGAGAAAGCUUACUUAGAUCCUGUGAGAAGGAGAGGGCGCGAUUUUCAAGUUCUUUUUUAACUCUUUUUGAGAAUCU
rnacentral:ribozyme from 15 species